rnacentral:rRNA from 1 species
UACGUAGGGGGCUAGCGUUGUCCGGAAUCAUUGGGCGUAAAGAGCGUGUAGGCGGCCCGGUAAGUCCGCUGUGAAAGUCAAAGGCUCAACCUUUGAAUGUCAGCGGAUACUGCCGGGCUAGAGUCCGGAAGAGGCGAGUGGAACUCCUGGUGUAGCGGUGGAAUGCGCAGAUAUCAGGAAGAACACCAACGGCGAAGGCAGCUCGCUGGGACGGUACUGACGCUGAGACGCGAAAGCGUGGGGAGCGAACAGC